UUAUAAUUUAUAUAAUAUUUUUAUCUAAAUGUUUUAUAAUCCACAGGAUAAUAUUUCUAUAUCAGUAAAAUUUAUAUAAUUAAUUCUUAGAUUGUAUUUUACAGAAAACAUUGACCUAGGUCUCAUAAUAAAUGUACCUACUGAGAUACCAUUUAAUUUGGUAUCUCGUGAGGGUUUUAAAAAAAUACAGUUUUUUUAAGAAUACGACUUUCUAAAGGCUAUCUUGGAAGAUCUAUUCUAUAUCGUCCAAAUUUGAUUGAAUGUGAAUCUACAAUAGCAGAUGCUUGGUCUACAUUUAGAAAGUACUUACAUUUGAAUGCUAAUCAUAGUUGUCAUCCAUACAACCUUUGAAAAGUAAACAUACUUAUGACAUAUUGGCUGGAGCAAUGGAGCCAGCGGAGCCUUUGACAUAAAUUAUGAAAUAGUGAAAACAACAAAUAAUGGAUCAAAUUUCAUAAUCCAAGAUAAUCAUCAAAUAUUGUAUCCAUGAUAUUGGAUCAAGUGUUUGCCACAACUCUUCUAUAAACUACCUUUCAAGUACCUGCCGAUUGAGUACUUGAAAUGAAACAAAGAAAUAACUUUGGACUCAACAAAUCAGUAUUAUUGAGCGUGAAAUUCCGUGCAACAUUGCCAUGUAUCAAUGGCAAAUCUGUAUUACAUAUUCAAAUUUAAAAGUUCAAGUAAAUACCUAAACUUCUAAUUUUGUUAAUUGGUAACAGUUGUUAUUUUAUGAUUGACUAAUGUCUAUGACAGUACUACCUAAUACAAUUGAAAAAUAUAUUUGUCUUAAUUUAUGUGGUUAGGUUACGAAAAUCUAAAGAUAUGUGUUUACAUUAUAUAAUAAACGUGGUAUAAUAAAAUUAUUUUAAACAGGUUGUACAUAUUAAAAAAUAUAUUAGGUAAUAAUAUUAUUAUUAGAAAAUAAAUUUGAUAUUCAAGAAUACAAUUUGCUAUGAAUUGUAACCACAUUAUUUUAA